AAAGAGGCAAGGAUGUACAAACUUUUGCCAUCAGACUACAAUCUCUCAUUACAGAAACUCUGAGGUAGCAAGCAUGAAUGAACAAGAAUGAUCUGUAAUAGAACAAUGCCAAAAGAAGGAACUGGAUGAGAGGUCCUAAAUGGGAUUAAUGAUAGGACUAAAUGAACUAUCAUAUCCCAUGAUCCAAAAAUAUUUGAGGAAGCAUUAUUGGUGAUCAUGCACAAAGAAAUGAUAGAGCAAGUUAUUGACAAGCUGCAUCUUUACAUUGGAAAGAUAGAAGUUAGCAAGGUGAAUGCUGCUGCAGUAAAGCUAGGCAUAAUCAAGCAAAAUGUGAAUGACACAGAAAGCCUACAAACUGUGAUAUAACAAUUUAGUGAUAGGCUUAACAAAUUAGAGUCCAUGUUAGAAAAAGUAACAGACUCACAAUAAUCUAUUUCCUCACAGCAAAAAGUACAUCCUAGAAAUCAGGAAACUUUGCGUUAGGAACCACCUUUGCCACAGCACUCUUACAAUAUAUCAGGAGUUGGAUACCCAAAUUUCUAUGGGCCAUCACAAUAUACUAUUCCAUUUGAUAAGUCUAAUUAAUCUCACUUUUGAAUUUCUCAAAAUUAUUGGGAAAGACCUGUGUUGAAAAUUUCGCCUCCUCAGAACUUUGAUGUGCCAUGAGAUGGAGAACAGUUUCAGAACCUAUCCUAGCUGUCAGUACGGUUCAUUGGAGGUAUGACCAUGAGUUCCUCAUGAGACUUUUCAAGGCAAAUCUCACUAACAGAAUCUCAAAAGGGCAAAUUCUUGACAUGUGCAGGAUAAAUCGGUCCAUAAACAAUUUAUUAAAUCAAUUAAUAAACAGCCAAAGUCUUCAUAUACUAUUAUAUUAAUUAAGGAGAAACAACAAUAAAAUAAUCAUAAUAAAAAGAGAGAUGCUAUUUGAUUUAAAGGAAUGUAUAAAACAAAAUUAACUAGAGACGCAGAUCCAAGUCUAAAACGCUUGGUAAAUGGACAGCUAAGCUAUCUAACGAUAGACACUGGAGCUAAAAUUACUCUGCUGUUGAGAAAAUUUGUAAAUUCUUUAGAUAAAUUCUCAUUUUCACAUCAUGAUUCAAAUUUAAAAUUACAAAGUGUUAUGGGACAUUUAAUAAAAACUUAUAGAAGAUAAGAAUUUACAGUUCAGAUGAAAUAAAUAAAAUACUUUGCUCUCUAAACAAUAACAAAAAUAC
rnacentral:lncRNA from 1 species